rnacentral:rRNA from 1 species
UGAGGAAUAUUGGUCAAUGGGCGAGAGCCUGAACCAGCCACGUCGCGUGAAGGAAGACUGACCUUACGGUUUGUAAACUUCUUUUGUAGAGGGGUAAUGGCAGAUACGUGUAUUUGCGUGAAAGUACUCUACGAAUAAGCAUCGGCUAACUCCGUGCCAGCAGCCGCGGUAAUACGGGGGAUGCGAACGUUAUCCGGAAUUAUUGGGUUUAAAGGGUGCGCAGGUGGCUAAUCAGGUCAGUGGUGAAAAGCUAUGGCUCAACCAUGGUCUUGCCAUUGAAACCGUAUAGCUAGAGAGGAGACGAGGUAGGCGGAAUGUGUGGUGUAGCGGUGAAAUGCAUAGAUAUCACACAGAACUCCGAUUGCGAAGGCAGCUUACCAGGCUUUAUCUGACACUUAGGCACGACAGCGUGGGGAUCAAACAGG